AUUAAUUAUGUUUUGGGACACACCUGGAAACCUUGUGUAAGCUAUGCCUCAUUAGUCAAUGCGGUACACCAUUAAGUUCUUUGGAAUACACAAAAGUAUCUGACUAGAAAGCUUAUGAAAUAGAAGACAAGAUCCUGCCUCAGGAAGCGUACAUGAGAAUAAUUUUAAAGGAACCCAGCGAUAAAUGCAAAACAGUAGCUGUUGGAGGUGAUGGAAAUGUACAGGAACAGUGGGAGAAGCCGGUAACUUAUAGGAAGCCAAGAUGACAAGAAUUUUAAAAAAUAAUCAGACACACACAGUUUGUACAGAGAGCACCUUUGUAAAGUUGAGAAACAGCGCUCCCCAUCAUCAGUUGUAGUAUACUCCCUCUCCUGCAUUGAAGAGGCCAACCUUCAUCAGAGGUUAGUACUUUAAAUAAGGCAUUUAAAUAAGGUACUUAGGGUUAACCAACUUGACCC
rnacentral:lncRNA from 1 species